UUUUAUGGAGAGUUUGAUCCUGGCUCAGGAUGAACGCUGGCGGCGUGCCUAAUACAUGCAAGUCGAGCGAACGGACGAGAAGCUUGCUUCUCUGAUGUUAGCGGCGGACGGGUGAGUAACACGUGGAUAACCUACCUAUAAGACUGGGAUAACUUCGGGAAACCGGAGCUAAUACCGGAUAAUAUUUUGAACCGCAUGGUUCAAAAGUGAAAGACGGUCUUGCUGUCACUUAUAGAUGGAUCCGCGCUGCAUUAGCUAGUUGGUAAGGUAACGGCUUACCAAGGCAACGAUGCAUAGCCGACCUGAGAGGGUG
rnacentral:rRNA from 1 species